GGGGCCGUUUAGGAUUCGACGCCGGUUGCGAAACUUUAGGUGCAUGCCGAGUUGGUAACAGAACUCGUAAAUCCACUGUUGCAACUACUUAUAGUUGCCAAUGACGAAACCUACGGCCAGGAAAUGUCUCUCGCUGCGUAAGCAGCCUUAGAUUCCUGAGCUUCUGGUACCUUCGGGUCCAGCAAUCACCAGGGGAUGUCUGUAAACCCAAAGUGAUUGUCAUAUAGAACAGAAUCGCCGUGCAGUACGUUGUGGACGAAGCGGCUAAAACUUACACAACUCGCCCAAAGCACCCUGCCCGUCGGGUCGCUGAGGGUUAACUUAAUAGACACGGCUACGCAUGUAGUACCGACAGCGGAGUACUGGCGGACGGGGGUUCAAAUCCCCCCGGCUCCACCA
rnacentral:tmRNA from 1 species